CAAAAUGGAGUUUCUUAUGUCUACUUCUUUUUACAUAGACACAGUAACAGUCUGAUCUCUCUUUCUUUUCCCCACACUGCAUGUGUGAACACAUGGCAAAGUCAUGCUUUAUUUUAUGUGAGGGCAAUUACUGAGAAAAGAGUAAGCAGAAAUGCCCUUCUCUUAGUACUGGCCUCAUUAAGGAUUAUAUAUUUUCACCCUGGGAAGAAACCCUGACUAAUGCAUUGAGAAAAGCCUUUCUGUAAAGAAUGCUACAAGACAGGUUGUUACCCGAUUAUUUAUAGUAAAGUGUGUGGGAAAUUAUAUCAAUGAUAACCCUGUUUGUUUUGGGAUAUAUUUCUAAAGUGCCAAUACAGUAAUGAUAGGACAAUAUUAUGUGUAUGUGUGUAUGCCUUAUGUAUAUAAGCAUAUAUAUUAUAUGCAGGUUUAAUAUCCCUUCCCCAAAGUGCCUGGGAUCAGAAGCAUUUUGGAUUUCAGAUACUUAACAGAUUUUGGAAUAUUUGCAUUAUAUUUAUUGGUUGAGCAUCCCUAAUCUGAAAAUCCAAGGUGAAAUGCUCCAGUUAGCAUUUCCUUUGAGCGUCAUGUUAGAGUUAAGAAAGUUUCAGAUUCUGGGUUUUCAGACUAGGGAUACCCAACCUGUAUGUACAUAUAUUUAGGUAUCUAUGUAUGUAUAUAUAUGCAUAUGCAGACAUAUGUAUAUGGUCUGGUCGGCAUAUGUGUAUGUAUGCGUACGUAGGUAUGUAUGCCCUCAGUGCAAUGGGUUUGCAGCAGAAUUCACUGCACAGCAUUAGGUGUAGGUAGAUUACAGUUAUUUUUUAAGAUAAUCUAAUUUAAUUGUUUUUAUAAAAAUUAUUCCCUGUUGAAUAUGUCAUGAGGUUGUAUCAACAAUGAUUAACUCCUUUAUUAUACAUACACAUGAAUGUACAUUUUUAGUAAAUGCAUAAAUGAGAUUCUAUAAUGUUUACUGAUCUUUAUAUUAUAGCUUUUCUCUUCUUUCAGGAUUAGCUCAGCUUGCCCCUCCCUUUCCAUCUCCACCAUCUAUAGUGAGCCUCUCCAUAAUCAGUGCCAACCAUUAGUCUGGUUCAAGUCUCUGCAUAGAUAAUCAGUGCCAACCAUUAGUCUCGUUCAUAUUUUUACACAGGCCCCUAAACAUACACACCAGGAGUCAACAAACUGUGGCCAUUGGCCAAAUACGGCCUCCCAGCUGUUUUUUUAAAAUAAAGUUUUAUUGGAACACAGCCAUGUUCAUUUGGACAUGUAUUGUCUGGGCUUCUUUCAUGCUCCACUGGCAGAGUUGAGUAGUUUUGGCGGAGAUCAAAUGGCCCCCAAGCUGGAAACGGAAAAUAUUUACUCUCUGGCUCUUUACAGAAAAUGUUUGCCAACACAUGACACACACACAAACACACACACAUUACUGUGCUCAUAAUCAUAUACCUGUGUAAGGACCCUUUCCUUGAUUUAUAAAACUCAGAUCUCUUACGUGUGUGGAUGGUAUUUUUUUCAUUCUACAAUCCAUGAUGGGUUGCACACACAUGUAUUCUAUGAGGUUGACCUGUCAUAAUUUAUUGAGCCACUCCCACAGUUUUGAUUACUUAUUUCCCCCCCACACACGUUUUUUGCUAAAAAAGGGAGAGGGGACUGUUAUAAAUACUUCUGAGACGCAGACCAGCAUAAUCUUUUAAGUGCACAGGCCCAGGAGCCAGGUUCCUGCAUUUGAUUCCUGGCUCCACUCUCUACCCUCUGCAUCUGCUGAGCAAGUUAUUUGGUAUCAUCUAUUCUGGUUUUCUCAUCUACAAAAGGGAGAUUAUGAUAGUACCCUAUCCCCAUGCAUUUGGUGUGAGAAGUGGGUAUGUGUUAAACCGUUGGAACUGCAUGGACAGACCAAGUAUCCCUGAGCCUGCCUGGCUCCCUUGUGCUGGGUGUGGGACUGUGGUGGGAGAUUUCAGUCAGCUGGAAGUCUUUUCCAGAAGGGUGUUAGAGAUGGGCACCCAUGGCUUUAGUCUCCAUACUCAUACAUACAGAGCAUGGCCUCCCUCUGUCCUUAAGAGUCUCUGACCCCUCCCCUCACAACCUCUCUGAAUAGUCAAUAAUAUUUACCUUCUGAUCAGGGCUGUAACAUGGGUGGCCUCCCUGGAAGUUGUUACAACUGGUCCUUAAUAGACACCCUCACCCCUUUGGAUAGCACACAAUCUAAUUCUGGGUAUAACCUGUUUGCUACUCCCUCUCUUCCCCCUGAAAUGAGCUUAAGUUCCUAUUCUUCUUGGUGCAUAAUGGGUGCACUCCAGGAAGACUUCCUGGAGGCAGUGGCCUUCUUAAGCCAGAACCCGUUUAUAACCCAUGUAUAUAGCAGCAGCCUGCGCACAGCUGCCCCUGGUCUAUUCAGGCAGGGGUGCUAUCUAGGGAACUCCUCAAAGAACUCCUCACGUGUAACCCGCCUCCUCUCCCGGUCCCGGAGAAGCUGACCCUUCCUGCAAUGCCCGCCCCGUCAUGUACCUCCUGCCACGCGGCACACGCAGCCCUCCUCGGGACGAGCGCUGUGCAGUGCCUCUUUCUGUGCCGCCUUCGAGGCCGAGGUGCUGCACACGGUGCUUGCAGGCCGCCUGCUGCCGCCCGCCGCGGUGGUGGCCGUGGGCGCCUCGUACGGCAAGGACUCCACAGUGGUGGCGCACGUGCUGCGCGCUGGCGCCGCGCCUGGGCAUCUCACUGCAGCUCGUGGCCUUCGACGAGGGCAUCGGCGGCUACUGGGAAGCGGCGCUGGCGGCCGUGCGGCGCGCUGGGAGCUGUCGCUCACCGUUGUGGCCUACGAAGACCUCUUCGGGGCUGGACGGUGGACCCCGUAGCCGCAGCACAACCAACUCCAGCCGCAGCCGCUCCUGCUGUACCUUCUGUGGGGUGCUGCAGCGCCGGGCGCUGGAGGAAGGGCCGCGCCACGUGGGAGCCACUCACACACUGACCGUUGAGAACAAGGGUCACAACGCCGACGACAUGGCGGAGACCUUGCUCAUGAAUUUCCUGAGAGGCGACGCGGGGCGGCUGGCCCGGGGCGGGGGCCUGGGCUCUCCGGGCGAAGGGGGCGCCCUGCAGCGCUGCCGCCCGCUGCAGUUCGCCUCGCAGAAGGAGGUGGUGCUGUACGCGCACUUCCGCCGCCUCGACUACUUCUCCGAGGAGUGCGUCUACGCGCCUGAGGUCUUCCGCGGCCACUCCCGGGACCCGCUCAAGCGGCUGGAGGCGGCGCGGCCGUCGGCGGUGCUGGACCUCGUGCACUCGGCCGAUCGCCUGGCGCUGGCCCCGGCCGCGCGGCCCCCGCGCCCCGGCGCCUGCUCCCGCUGUGGGGCCCUGGCCAGUCGCGCGCUCUGCCAGGCCUGCGCACUCCUGGACGGCCUGAACCGCGGCCGGCCCCGCCAGGCCAUCGGCAAGGGCCGCCGGCGGCUGGACGAGGAGGCGACACCGGGGACACCGGGGAUCCGGCCCGGGCCCCCACCUCCGAGACUGUCCCCACCUUCUAGCGACUCCGGGCCUCCCGCCGGGAUCCGACGCCCCCGGGUGGGGGCUGCCUGUAAAUGACACUGUGAAUAAACCUGUUACC